rnacentral:tRNA from 1 species
UCCUCUUUAGCUCAGUUGGUAGAGCGCUCGGCUGUUAACCGAUAGGUCGUUGGUUCGAGUCCAACAAGAGGAGCC